UGGUGCUUCUGCAGUCUUCACAGCUGCCAGCGCCGCAGCAUCGCCUCUCGGUGCACUACGCUUAGCACUACGGCCUUCUGAAAUACAGGGAUUUUAUCCUUCCCGCAAGGAGAGGUUAGAUAAUGAACUGCAGUCUCACAGUGACUUACUCCCACUGCAACAACUACUGUUCGAAAUGUUAACCCUGUCUGAGCAGAGCGGAUAAAGGGAAACCAGCUUUCAUAAUAUGUGAUGCAGAGCGACACGGAGCUGCAUGAGGAAAAAGACUACCAAGCUAAAGGAAAAAGCAUAUGUUACCUGGUAUUAGCAACAGUGGGACAUGUGUCACCCAACCCACUCCACGCUGCUCAAUGAAGAGACACCUGAACUGGAGCCCAAAUAGUACGAAACCCAGGCUCCCAAUCUUGAUUCCAUCUGCUGCAGUACGUAGCAUCAUGUAACCCCUGUACAGAGAAUGUGCAUUAGGAGACACAACUCACCAAGGACUCUGCUCCACUGCCUGCAUUUACUUCUUUUUAAGAGAAGAGAUUUCAAAUGAAAUAUAUGAAGCCAGUGCAAAAAAACCCCAAAUGUGUUCCUCUCAAAUUCAAGCAGGUGGAAGGAAAACAUUUUCAUUUUCUUCUUCUGGAGGGAAAAACAAAAGCAUAACAUUUCCAGAGUGGCACAGUCACACUUCCCAGAGGCGUUUCCACGUAAAAGCAAACCCUGUCAAUGGGCAAUUUCAUUUUCUUGAAAUGGAAUUUUCCCUCAAUAAAUGAAUGAACCUACUUCAUUUUUAACCUCAAACUUUCUAUUGUUAAUCUGUAAAGCACAGUAAUGUUACCUAUUCAUCUCUUUGAGAUGUUAUAAAAAUAAAGCCCUGUGAAGCCCUCAGUUGUUACAGCAAUUAGCAUCAUAGGAAAAGGCCAAUGAUGAAACGAAGGAAGUUGUCUCCAGAACGGGGUUUAAAUCAUGCAUGAACUGUAUGUUAACCUUAAGACCCACAUAAAACGAUGAGGAGGAAAAAAAUAUACUGAGGCAAAAAUCCUGCAAGAAUAAAUAUGCUGUCUGCUGACAUAAUUAAAGGCUCCACAGCUCACACAGGCACCUUCUUUCUGACAUUUCCUGUGAGAUUGUUAGGCGACUUGGCAACCAGAAGAGUGUUUUUAUUAGUUAAUGAUUUUUGUGUCAAAUUCUAUUUGAUUUGCCUCAUACAUGUAAUUUGGUCUUUCACCUGGAUACUUGAGGAAAUUAUGAAUUUGUAAGUUCUUUCUUCCAUUAGACUAGGUACCUCAUAAAUAUAUCUAAA